rnacentral:lncRNA from 1 species
AUGGGUUUGAAGCUCAGGGUCUGGGGAGCUGAGGAGGGAGAUUCCAGGAAGAAAAAGACGCCAAAUUUCAGCUGUCCCAAGACUCUGGAACCUUCCGCCUCCACCCUCCUUUGCUUUCUGUCAAUCGAUCAAUACAGCCAUAGCAAAGAGAAAUUGUCUUUUAAAGUGGUGGGGAAGGAGGUCCAGGUGGAGCGUUCCUAUGAAUCAAAACAGUGCCCUCUCCGAAGGACGAGGAAACAAAGAAGGAGCUUUGAAGACCGGCCUCAGACCCUGCAGUGGGGAGAAGCGGCCAGUUCCGGGAGCUCGAUGUGCAGGUGUCAUCUAUCACAGGCAGAACCCCGAGGAUCAACUUCUGCUAUGACCUGCUCUGCUUCCCCACCACUGAAAUCUACAGAGGGAGGAAGAACCUCCCAUCCCUCCCUCCAGACCCGGGUCUUCUCCUGGCAGGGACGCUUGCAUCUUCCCCAGUGACAGGCAUGAACUGGAGAUCCCAUGGGGGAGCCUCAUCCUGGUUCUCCAGCUGCUUGUGACGCAGUCCCGGUCUCUGCUCAGAUGUGCUUAGGACCGGUCCCUCAGCCUCUCCCAUUUGUUGGUCAGAUUCCCUUGUCCCCCUUGGAUAAGCACGUCCUCAUUGCCGGCUGCCCCCAGCAGGCAAGAGCUAGGGGCGGGGGUGUUGGUGCGGGACGGUUGGGCAGUG